CACGUAGGCACCAAGCGUUGUCCGGAUUUAUUGGGCGUAAAGAGCUCGUAGGCGGUUCGGUAAGUCGGGUGUGAAAUCUCAGGGCUCAACCCUGAAACUGCACUCGAUACUGCUCUGCUUGAGGACUGGAGAGGAGACUGGAAUUCACGGUGUAGCAGUGAAAUGCGUAGAUAUCGUGAGGAAGACCAGUGGCGAAGGCGGGUCUCUGGACAGUUCCUGACG
rnacentral:rRNA from 1 species